CCAUGCUGUGUGCGGUGCAGUAUCCAGAAGGUACUGAUCACUCAGCCUGCGUGUAAUUAGUACCUGUCUGGGUAGAGUAACGCUCAACAAGA